rnacentral:rRNA from 1 species
GACGAACGCUGGCGGCGUGCUUAACACAUGCAAGUCGAACGGAAAGGCCCCAGCUUGCCGGGGUUCUCGAUUGGCGAACGGGUGAGUAACACGCGGGUGAUCUGCCCUGCACUGUGUGAUAUGCCUGGGAAACUGGGUCUAAUACCGGAUAGGACAGUGCUUACGUGUGUGCGGUGGAAAGAUUUUCGGUAUAGGCUUAGCUGGCGGCCUAUCAGUCUGUUGGUGGGGUAAUGGCCGACGAAGGCGGAGACGGGUAGCCGACCUGGGAGGGGGGACGGGCACAUGGGGACUGAGGGACGGAGCAGACGCGUAUGGGAGGCAGCAGGGGGAAGUAUGGCGGAAUGGGCGCGAGUGUGAGGCAGCGACGCCGGGUGGGGGAUGACGGCUUUCGGGUUGUAAACCACUGUCGGCGGGGACGAAGCUUUUGUGACGGUACCUGCAUAAGAAGCACCGGCUAACUACGUG